rnacentral:snRNA from 1 species
AUACAUACCUGGACCGGGCCAAUGGGCUAACAAGAAGGUCCGUGACCUAGACAGGUGACCUUCAUUGCACUUGGAAGGGUGCUGGUCUAAGGUCUCCUUCCUCUAGAAGGAGAUCCUAUGUCAUAUUUUUAGACAGUGGGAGUUUGUGUUCGUACGGCUCCCUA